rnacentral:lncRNA from 1 species
GGCAAAUUCCCUUAAACAAGGAAACUGAGGCUCAGAGAGGGCAGGCAACUUGCCCAAGGUCACUCGCCGCAGUCCAGAUCAGAGCCAGACGCCACAGCCUGAGCUUUCUCUGAUGCCCCUGGGCAGCUGCUGUGUGGUCUCCAGCCUGUCAUGGACCAAAUCCCGGCCAAAAGCUAGAAUUCAGGAUUUGGGUCAGAAUGAGGGCCAGCCUGAAGUCACCUCCCAGAGUGCGAGAGGGAAGCGGCUGAGUCAGUUCCGGAGAGAAGUCCGAGAAGUGCUGGAAGUGUGGGUGAGGUGUGGGUGGGUGUCUGGACCCUGAACCUCCGAGAACCUCCCUGGAGGGCUUGGGGAACUCAGCCAGGAUGGAGGCCGGCCAGCAAGCUGGGGAGUCGGAUUCCAGGCCUGGGCUUCAAAGCUGGGGCUCCUUCCUUCCUCGGCCUCUCCAGGCAGGAAAUCAUUAGGAUAAAAUAGCAAAAAGAGAGGGACUGGGGGAGGUGGAGAACCAACCCAAAUUAAAGCCCAGGAGGCCGCAGGAGAGGGGCUCCUUGGAUAGAGCCCCAGUCCAAAACAGCCCAAAGGCCUAAUCUAACGUGCAAAGAAUUGCACCCUAUUCCUGUUUUGAGCAAGCACCGUGCUGUCGGGGGUAGGCCUGGCCCUGAGACAUGGCCUUCCGUGGUGGCCUCCUCUCUCUGGCUCCUGGCUUCUGGCCUGUGGAGUGAAGUGUGUUGCUGUGUUGGUGUCUGCAAACCUCAGCAAGUGCCAGAAGUCACGGGUGUGCUGGCUAGAACGCAGUUUCUUGAGCGUCUGCUGCAGGGUGCGCUGAGCCCAGGAGUGCACGUUUUAAAUUGAAGCCACAGUAUUUCAGAUCCAGCUGGAAUCACAGGGGUUUCUUGUUUGGCCCCUCCCUGAAACCCUGGAAGAAUCUGGAGUCAGCAGAAGUGUGCAUGUUGCAAAAAUCACAGAAUCAUGUAAGGAAUGAAAGGAAAGCCCCCUUCUUCAACCCUGACUCCAACAAUCCCACUGCUCAAAGGAACCCAGAUAAUACGUAGGAAAUACAUACCUACGUGUUUCUUACAUAUUUAGAAAUAUGUCAACAUAAGUCAUUAUAAACAUAAGUCAUUAUAAUUAGUCAUUUGUACUUGAGAAGUCCUAAUGUACAUGGUUACAAUGCAAAUGAUCUCAAAGUGUGUGAAAUGGCAAGUAAAAGUCCUUUUCUCCUCUCACUCCCAACUGCCCGGGGCAACUGCCACCAACAAGGUAUAUUCUUCCAGAAAAAUCAUAAUGUACCUUCAAACACAUGCAUAAAGUUUUAAAAUUGUUCAAUAGGUAGUAAAUUCACAUCAUUCAAAAAUAGAAAACUUACGAACAUGUGUAGAAUGAAGAGGCUCUCUCCCAUCCCACCUCCACCCACCCUCGGGGAACCAUUUUUAGUUUCUUGCGCAUCCUUCCAGAUUUUCUUUCUGAAAAUAUAAGCGAGGGGAGACGCACAUUCUGAUUUUACUCCUUUUACACAAAGGUACUCUUCCCCUUUGCGCUGACUUCCCACAACAGUGUACCUCGGACGGCUCUACUCGUUCCCAUUUCACGGUAGCCUGGUAACCCACUGCAUGGAUUUACCAUCACGCAUUUAACCGCCCUCCCGUUCGUGGCCACUUGGACUGUGUCUAACAUUUUGAUUUUUUUGUUUGUUUGUUUUUUUGAGACAGAAUCUCACUUUGUGCCCCUGGCUGGAGU